UACGAAGGGUGCAAGCGUUACUCGGAAUUACUGGGCGUAAAGCGUGCGUAGGUGGUUUGUUAAGUCUGUUGUGAAAGCCCCGGGCUCAACCUGGGAAUGGCAAUGGAUACUGGCAAGCUAGAGUGCGGUAGAGGGUAGUGGAAUUCCCGGUGUAGCGGUGAAAUGCGUAGAGAUCGGGAGGAACACCAGUGGCGAAGGCGGCUAGCUGGGCCAGCACUGACGCUGAGGCGCGAAAGCCUGGGGAGCAAACGGG
rnacentral:rRNA from 1 species